UACGUAGGGUGCGAGCGUUGUCCGGAAUUACUGGGCGUAAAGAGCUCGUAGGUGGUUUGUCGCGUUGUCCGUGAAAACUCACAACUCAAUUGUGGGCGUGCGGGCGAUACGGGCAGACUGGAGUACUGCAGGGGAGACUGGAAUUCCUGGUGUAGCGGUGGAAUGCGCAGAUAUCAGGAAGAACACCCGUGGCGAAGGCGGUUCUCUGGGACGGUACUGACGCCGAGACGCGAAAGCGUGGGGAGCGAACAGG
rnacentral:rRNA from 1 species